rnacentral:rRNA from 1 species
UACGUAGGGUGCAAGCGUUAAUCGGAAUUACUGGGCGUAAAGCGUGCGCAGGCGGUUCUGCAAGUCAGAUGUGAAAUCCCCGGGCUUAACCUGGGAACUGCGUUUGAAACUACGGAGCUAGAGUGCGGCAGAGGGGGGUGGAAUUCCACGUGUAGCAGUGAAAUGCGUAGAUAUGCGGAGGAACACCGAUGGCGAAGGCAAUCCCCUGGGCCUGCACUGACGCUCAUGCACGAAAGCGUGGGGAGCAAACAGG